rnacentral:rRNA from 1 species
AGUGAACGCUGGCGGUAGGCCUAACACAUGCAAGUCGAACGGCAGCACAGUAAGAGCUUGCUCUUACGGGUGGCGAGUGGCGGACGGGUGAGGAAUACAUCGGAAUCUACUUUUUCGUGGAGGAUAACGUAGGGAAACUUACGCUAAUACCGCAUACGACCUACGGGUGAAAGCAGGGGAUCUUCGGACCUUGCGCGAUUGAAUGAGCCGAUGUCGGAUUAGCUAGUUGGCGGGGUAAAGGCCCACCAAGGCGACGAUCCGUAGCUGGUCUGAGAGGAUGAUCAGCCACACUGGAACUGAGACACGGUCCAGACUCCUACGGGAGGCAGCAGUGGGGAAUAUUGGACAAUGGGCGCAAGCCUGAUCCAGCUAUACCGCGUGGGUGAAGAAGGCCUUCGGGUUGUAAAGCCCUUUUGUUGGGAAAGAAAAGCAGCAGGUUAAUACCCCGCUGUUCUGACGGUACCCAAAGAAUAAGCACCGGCUAACUUCGUG